rnacentral:rRNA from 1 species
GGACCCGCACAAGCGGUGGAGCAUGUGGUUUAAUUCGAUGCAACGCGAAAAACCUUACCUACUCUUGACAUACUUGGAAGCUCUUGUAAUGAGAGUGUGCCUUUUGGAACCAAGAUACAGGUGCUGCAUGGCUGUCGUCAGCUCGUGUCGUGAGAUGUUCCGUUAAGUCGGAUAACGAGCGCAACCCUUACCCUUAUUUGCCAGCGAUUCGGUCGGGAACUAUAAGGGGACUGCCGGUGAUAAACCGGAGGAAGGUGAGGACGACGUCAAGUCAUCAUGGCCCUUACGAGUAGGGCUACACACGUGCUACAAUGGGGAAUACAGACGGACGCUAAGCCGCGAGGUGGUGCUAAUCCUAGAAAGUUUCUCGUAGUCCGGAUUGGAGUCUGCAACUCGACUCCAUGAAGUCGGAAUC